UUAGUGGCGGACGGGUGAGUAACGCGUGAUAACCUGCCGUAUACAGGGGGAUAACACUUAGAAAUAGGUGCUAAUACCGCAUAAGCGCACGGUUCCGCAUGGAACAGUGUGAAAAACUCCGGUGGUAUACGAUGGAUCCGCGUCUGAUUAGCCAGUUGGCGGGGUAACGGCCCACCAAAGCGACGAUCAGUAGCCGGCCUGAGAGGGUGAACGGCCACAUUGGGACUGAGACACGGCCCAAACUCCUACGGGAGGCAGCAG
rnacentral:rRNA from 1 species